UAUUUGCACUUUGUCCACAGAUCCCUGUGACAUGCUUUUUUUCCUAUGGUUAUAGGACUUGCACAGCGACAGAACCCAUACUUCCUGUCUUGCAUUCCUGCUUUCCCUUCACACAUUGAAUCUCUUACCAACUUCAACCCAAAUAAAAGAAGCAUGGAACGUAACUGGAAAUACAUACCCAUCUGGUAGCCUGAGAGUCUUCCACCUCUA
rnacentral:lncRNA from 12 species